rnacentral:rRNA from 1 species
UACGGAGGGUGCAAGCGUUAUCCGGAUUUACUGGGUUUAAAGGGUGCGCAGGCGGAUAUGUAAGUCAGUGGUGAAAUCUCUAGGCUUAACCUGGAAAUUGCCGUUGAUACUAUAUAUCUUGAAUGUUGUGGAGGUAAGCAGAAUAUGUCAUGUAGCGGUGAAAUGCUUAGAGAUGACAUAGAAUACCUAUUGCGAAGGCAGCUUACUACGCAGAUAUUGACGCUCAUGCACGAAAGUGUGGGGAUCAAACAGG